AGCUUUGUAGUUGAAUAACAACAUUAAAUUGCAGCUUUAAAAGUGUAUGAUUACCAAGGCUU
rnacentral:tRNA from 1 species